CACGUAGGGUGCGAGCGUUGUCCGGAAUUAUUGGGCGUAAAGAGCUCGUAGGCGGUGUGUCACGUCGGCCGUGAAAACCUACAGCUUAACUGUGGGCGUGCGGUCGAUACGGGCAUCACUGGAGUUCGGCAGGGGAGACUGGAAUUCCUGGUGUAGCGGUGAAAUGCGCAGAUAUCGGGAGGAACACCAAUGGCGAAGGCAGCUCGCUGGGACGGUACUGACGCUGAGACGCGAAAGCGUGGGGAGCAAACAGG
rnacentral:rRNA from 1 species